GACGACGCUGGCGGCGUGCUUAACACAUGCAAGUCGAACGAGUGGCGAACGGGUGAGUAAUACGUGGGAACCUGCCCUCCUUUUUGGGAUAAGCCUUGGAAACGGGGUCUAAUACCGAAUAAAGUGGGAUGGGCUCGCGGCCUAGCAGCUUGUUGGUGGGGUGAUGGCCUACCCAGGCGGUGACGGGUAGCCGGCCUGAGAGGAUGACCAGCCAAACUGGAACUGAGACACGGUCCAGACUCCUACGGGAGGCAGCAGUGGGGAAUAUUGCACAAUGGGCGCAAGCCUGAUGCAGCCAUGCCGCGUGUAUGAAGAAGGCCUUCGGGUUGUAAAGUACUUUCAGCGGGGAGGCGUUACCCGCAGAAGAAGCACCGGCUAACUCCGUGCCAGCAGCCGCGGUAAUAC
rnacentral:rRNA from 1 species